CCUACGGGUGGCUGCAGUGAGGAAUAUUGGUCAAUGGUCGGGAGACUGAACCAGCCAAGCCGCGUGAGGGAUGAAGGUACAGAGUAUCGUAAACCUCUUUUGUCAGGGAACAAAGGCGGGGACGUGUCCCCGGAUGAGUGUACCUGAAGAAAAAGCAUCGGCUAACUCCGUGCCAGCAGCCGCGGUAAUACGGAGGAUGCGAGCGUUAUCCGGAUUUAUUGGGUUUAAAGGGUGCGCAGGCGGUCUGUUAAGUCAGCGGUCAAAUCGCGGGGCUCAACCCCGCUCCGCCGUUGAAACUGUGUCCCUUGAGUGCGCGAAGGGUAGGCGGAAUGCGUGGUGUAGCGGUGAAAUGCAUAGAUAUCACGCAGAACUCCGAUCGCGAAGGCAGCCUACCGGCGCGCAACUGACGCUCAUGCACGAAAGCGUGGGUAUCGAACAGGAUUAGAUACCCGGGUAGUC
rnacentral:rRNA from 1 species